GAAGAAAUGUAAUUGACUUCAGAGGCCAAGAUCAGGUUUAUUUAUUGGCACCCUUGAACCAAAGUAGGCAAAUACUGUUUUCAUUCACACUAGAUAAAGUCUUAUAGAAGAUGGUAAUAAUACAGUAAUGACACUGCUGGUCUCAUUACGCAAGGUGAACCUCCCAGACGCCAGAAGCAUGAGUCUAGGAGACUUAUGACCUAAUCUGUCCUAUCCUGUCAUUUUGUGGAGAACGGGGUUGGAGAUGUCUACAGAAAGAAGCACAGAACAGCAGUGACCCAAACCUCCACGCCCUCCACUAGGUCACCUAGUGACGUAGCUCUUUAGUUCACUGAAACUGCCCUUUCAAGAGCUAUCAAAGUGUCAGAAGAGAUUCAAGUAAUUUGUUGAUUUAGCAUUUGGUAAUUUGUAAUUGUACUGCAUUUUUUUUAGUUCCAAAACAUUUAGCAAACGUACCCUCCAAGGCACUGUGGAAGGUGGGACAUAAAGACAGUUCCUGUCUGCAAGGAGAUAAACAUCCUGUGAAAGACACAGCAGGUAGCCAGCUAACUGAAGUGAAAGGUCACCUGGAUGAGAAGUGUUGUAAGCAGCUUGCAGAGCACAGGGGCAGGAGAGACUGAAGGAAAAAGGGAAGGCUUUGCAGAAGUGUGGUACUUAAAUGGGGCCAGUCCACCACAGGUUAUGCUGCCUCCUACAGGUGGAAAUGAACCCCAAAUAAUAGCACACAGCCCUUCUCUAUCAAAGACCAUCAGAACAUACAACUUCUUUAAAAAGUGCUUAAUGAGAGAUUCACAAAGGAUAGCUUUCCCUUUGACACAUCUGGCACAGUCAUGAUGGAAAUGCUGAUUGAUGAACUAGCAAAACUUACAAAAGUACAUAGGGAGGAUGUGUGGGAGAAGGAGGAGUGUAAGCUACAUCUCAACCAUGAUUGGAAGUCAAUAAUGUGUAAAGUUGAUAUGUCAAAAAACAGCAGUACAUAUGUAUUAUUUAGAAAUAUGGAGGUAAAUACCAAAAGCAACAGCUUAAUGAGUAAAGCCUUUGGGGACUAAGGCAGUGGGGACAUCGUAAAUCUUGCGUUAUUAUUUGAUUUAAAAAAAUGAUUUAAUAAAAACAAAUUAACUUUCAGAAAGUUGCAAGAAGGCUACACAAAAAACUAAUGGGGGUUACAUCUGUGGAGCUGGAAUAAGGGAAUGAGAGUAGAGAAAGAACGUUAACUUUUUAUUUAACAUGCUCUUAUAUUGUUUCACUAUAAACAUCUGCUAUUUUUAUAAUAUAGUUUUUAUACCUU